UACGUAGGGUGCGAGCGUUGUCCGGAAUUAUUGGGCGUAAAGGGCUCGUAGGCGGUCUGUCGCGUCAGGAGUGAAAACUCGGGGCUCAACCCCGAGCCUGCUUCUGAUACGGGCAGACUGGAGGUAUGCAGGGGAGAACGGAAUUCCUGGUGUAGCGGUGAAAUGCGCAGAUAUCAGGAGGAACACCGAUGGCGAAGGCAGGUCUCUGGGCAUUAACUGACGCUGAGGAGCGAAAGCGUGGGGAGCGAACAGG
rnacentral:rRNA from 1 species